rnacentral:misc_RNA from 1 species
AAAGUCGUAACAAGGUUUCCGUAGGUGAACCUGCGGAAGGAUCAUUAACACGUAUCCAACGUUAAACCCCCCUGUGAACUUUUAGCGUGCUCUUGUGUCCUGUAUAGGAACAGCAAUCCUGGUAAAUCAGCCCUAGAAAAGUUUUGAUUCAGGACCUCUGUCUAAAAGGAUGCAAUUGAGCGCUCGAGGCAAGUGGCUUGGUUUCCCCAAGUGAUUAGCGUCUGAAAGUGGCGCUGGUUGUGUAAGGAUAACGCUUUACGAUUGCUGUAGGCCGAACACCGGCCGGCGACUCGGCCACCGGGCUCACGCCCCCUAAUAACACCAGUAGUUAUCUUAAGGCACCACUCCACUGCAAGUGCGCCGGAGCUGGUGAAAACGAACAACUGUUAACAAUGGAUAUCUUGGUUCUC